GUAGGUGGCAAGCGUUGUCCGGAAUUAUUGGGCGUAAAGCGCGCGCAGGCGGUCCUUUAAGUCUGAUGUGAAAGCCCACGGCUCAACCGUGGAGGGUCAUUGGAAACUGGGGGACUUGAGUACAGAAGAGGAAAGCGGAAUUCCAAGUGUAGCGGUGAAAUGCGUAGAGAUUUGGAGGAACACCAGUGGCGAAGGCGGCUUUCUGGUCUGUAACUGACGCUGAGGCGCGAAAGCGUGGGGAGCAAACAGGAUUAGAUACCCUGGUAGUCCACGCCGUAAACGAUGAGUGCUAAGUGUUAGGGGUUUCCCGCCCCCCUUAGUGCUGCAGCUAACGCAUUAAGCACUCCGCCUGGGGGAGUACGGCCCGCAAGGCUG
rnacentral:rRNA from 1 species